GUUGUAAGGUGUCAGAGGCCAUCUUGAGCGGCUAUAAUCAAUAUUUAUAAACCAACAAUGGAUCGGAUGACUGUGUAGAUGGAAAAAGUCUUUUUGAAAUUGUGUAAUUCAAUCUUGUAGCGUUUAACCUCAUUACAAUCCCAUCAUUUAAAUGCACAUCAAAAGCCACACCAGCCGCCACCUACGCUGCGAUUACUGCAAACCACACUGGGGUCACGGCACCAGUCAGCGCCGCGCUAACAUUGCGUAGGUGCAGAGGCUUUGGCAGCGGUCACCAGCCUCUUUGGGGCUUUUUUUGCGCUCUGUGUUUUUGGCCCUUCUUCAAGGGAGAUCAAUUUUAAUUUUAUGUGAAUUAAGAAAUAGUUUGCUGUAGUUUCUUUUGUGUCCCUUAAUACCCGUUGGACCGCUGAGAUUCAUCCCUGCUUCCAGGUAACGAACCAGCAGCUCUUCUAGAAAUCUUGAUGGUAUUUGUUAGAGACUUGGAGAGUGUGACUCACUCACUUUACUCACAUAGAGAGAGAAGUCGGGUUUGGACAAGUCUCUAACUAUUUGACCUAUAGGUGCGUUUGACAUCACACCGUCUGCGCAAGAUGAUAAUGCCUUGAUGAGGGAGGAUUUACAAGUUCAAUAAAUGACAGAAUUCUGAAGUGAAAAGACAGACAAUUAUAGUUAACUCGGUGAAAAUAGAGCAAUGAAGCAGAAUAAAAAAUAAAAAGCUUUUUCAGCGAGUGGGAUUGUUGUGCUCGUGCGAGCAUUGUGACGUUGCGUCUCUCCUGCAGGACCUGGUGCACCGGCUGCAGCAGCGCCUGCUCCUGCUGGCGGAGGCGAGCUCCCGGGACGGCGAGCUGCUGCGGCAGGUCGGCACAGAGCUGCUGUGCCUGCAGAGCUCCGAGGUGGAGCUGGAGGGCCUGGUGGAGGAGCUGCACGCCGAGGCCCAACGCAAGGCCGGGAUGGCAGAGAGCCUCCAGGCGGAGCUGCACGCUGAGGCCCAGCGCCGGGCCGCCCUGACGGAGAGCCUGCAGGCGGAGCAGCGCAGGCAGGACCCCUCCUCACGCUUUCUGAUUGUAUAGAUUAAAAUGUCCGUGUACGGACUUACAUUGCAUUGAUGGUGGGGAUAUUUGUAGGAAUGUGCACGUGUUUUCAGAUUAAGGUUGAGCACAUUCCUUUACUGUCAUACCUCCUUGUUCUGUUGAAUCGUUGCUAGUUGGAUUUGAAACACAUUCCUCCGUGUUUCACACAGCUUUUCAAACCGACCAACACAUAAAGCAACACGUUUUAUUUAACUCUAACAAAAAUCCCAAAUGAAAAGUUGUUUUUUAAGUAAAAUGCUAUAGAUGCUAAAGGUAGUGUUUUUUCUCAGUUCUGUCCAGAUGAUAGCCAACAUUUUGUAAUUUUGAGAAAUCUCUCUGAAAAGUAAAUUCCAAGUCAAGCGAAUGAAACACACAUUUAAAAAAAACAAUCCUUUCCUCUAUUUGUCCCCAACAGGAAGAGGGCCGAGCUGGAGGAGCUACGAGACACCAACCAAACGCUGACGGACGAGCAGAAGGAUCUACGCUCGGCUCACCAGACGCAGGUAAAGGGAGCCGAUGCAGCUCCGAGGUGUUUCGCUUAACCUCUGACCUCGAUUAGGUUAUUCACACAAACCAGACAUUCAAACCCCAUCCGGCAAUGAACAAAGAGCCGGUGGCCGUAGUGAGACUGUUGUCCAGCAGGUGUCAGGAUUGGACUUUUUGUCCACCGCUGCUCUGGCACUUUCUAUCGCCGCGUAAAUAGAUAAAUAAUGGCCGUUGAAUGUUUUUAGAACCAAUGUGGCUUUUUUAUCGCUGUCGAGCUUCCAGCCAACUCCUCCAGAAAUGUGCAACAUGGUCCUGCUGCCAGCUCCUCCUAUCAGAAGUAACGUCUUAAAACUGAUCCGGGGCCAGUUUAACAUCAGAGACCAACAAGUCUGCUGCUGCCGCCUGAUUUUGAUUGAUUCAAUUGCAUGAAAUCUAAAACCUCACGGUUCAAAUUUACGGCCCCAAUUUGAAAAACUACAACCACCCGUGAGAAAAGGCACAAAUUCAGAUUUUUUAAAAUUUAUUUCCUGGCAUCGGCAUUCGUUUCAAUGUGUUUUGAGUCGGGGCACCAGCGAAGCAUUCCCACCCAGUGUGAGGAUUUAAUAUUUGUAUUAGACCCCCCUCCCUCGCUGGCCCCCGUUUCUACCAGUCCAUCAAAACCGGCAGAAGAACACGGUUAUCUCUGCUGCGAGAAGGACCGACAGACCGCCCCGCCAGUGGGAAACCUAACGAGAACCUUCAAGCCUGUGAAUUAUUGUGAAAGUCCAGAGAGCCGGAGAUCACGUCCGACCCCCUUUUUCUUUUGCGUUUGCUCAUCUUUCCAGAUGACGGCGCCGGGUUCAAGAGGCUCCUAUUUUUCCCUCCGACCAUAUCGAGGCCUCCGUCUAAGCCCCUGACAUUAUUCAUACAAAAAUGAGGCGAUAUAACAACAUCCUGCUUUACUGUGUUGGAGGUGAGGGAGCUGCAGCAGGAGAACGAGGGGAGUCUGAGGAAGCUGCAGGCGACGGCGGAGCAGUUCGAGUGGCUCUGUCAGCAGCAGCGCGGCUGGAUGUGUUGUGUCAAGAGGUACGGCGUCUUCUCCGUGCAUCACGCACAGCAUCGAUACGGCAGCCCGAACAAACUGGCAACAUUACAGCGGUGCUGGUUGACUAUUUGGUUUUUGGACCCUUUUCACACGGAUCAAAGAGACAAUUGUUAAGGAAUAGUUUGACACAUUAGGGUCUGGUUGUGAGUUUUUGCUGAAUUUCUUACAGUCUUUAUUGAUUAAACUGAUACGUGUUGAUUGGGGAGAUUUAAAGGCCUUCAGUCGGCCUUUAGUUACUUCUUCCAUUUUCAUUUACAUACAAAACUCAAUCCUUUCUUUAAGCUUCACCCAAAUUGUUUUGUUUACCAAACCUAACUUUGUUGUUUCCUCAACCUUGAGCAGAUUGACUUUUUUGGAAAAAUCCCUUAAAAUAAGGAGCCCUUUUAACGCCCUCAUAUUUGGAUUAGCCUAGCUUAGCAUAAAGCCUCCAAGCACCUUUAAGGCCGGCGCAUUCUUCUGCGUCGUUGCGUCGACGCACUCGUUUAAAAGUCUUGCGUGUGUUGCAGAGCAAUUCACCUCCAGAACAACAGGCGGAGUGACGUGUUUCUGUUGAAGACGACCUCGAGAGUCACGUCUAUUUAUUUAUUUGUUUGUUUAUUUAUCAUAGGCUUGUAGAAGCGCUCAUAUUUACGCAUUUCUUCCCGACAAAAGUUCUUAAAUCUGAUCCGUUCUCUCGUAAACAUUCUUUUUUAUUCCUCUGAAUAAAGUGAAAAACAACCCCCCCCCUUGAGUAGUUCUGAGUCAUAAAGAUGUCCAUCUCUGAGGAGCAAACCACUCCACAGACGUCCACGUGUAGCCGGGACUCGUCUCACUUCAUCGGGUUUAACUAGACGCUCGCUCCCUGCUGGGUUGCCACAGAUUCAAGGACAGCCUGAUGGAGGAGAGGGACGCUCUGCUGCGACAGGUCGUCGCCCUCAACAAGAAGGUCGAGGAGCUGAAGAAGAGUUUGCGCGAAGACGCUCCCACGCAGAGCGUCCUCCGUCCCCCGCAGGACACUAAACGCCGUGACAGGUCAGGAGGUGGACAGACGAGCGGACGGGUUCAGUAGAGUUAUCACCGCGAUGAAGCUGCCAGAGUUCAGCUGCGGUUUUUUUAAAUUAUUUAAAAGGACUCCCACUGGCAUUAAAUAAAGAAAAGAAAAUUCCUCUUGGUCUCCCAUCAUUUUCAUACAUUUUCCUACGACUCUUUCUCUUCCAAGCAGCUUAACGUCGUUGGACGCAGACGCUGUGGCUGACCUGGAGUCUCGGGUGGAGAAGUCAAACAUGCUGUACGCGGCGCUCUUUAACCAGGUACCAGUUUCAUUCUUCUGCUUCUCGAUCCUUGUCUGCUGCAGCGCUUUUAUUGUGGUCCUAACCCUAAAGAUAGCGACUUUACUAUCACACAUCGCAAAGAAAAAGCAUCCAAACCUCAAAUAUGAGAAGACGGUGAAUCAGGAAACCGGGAACUAGGCGACAUUUCUACGGAAAAUCCAUAAUUUGGUGAACCAAAUAGUUGCCGAUCAAUUUUUUUUCCAUCCAUUAAUCAGACAGUUGUCCUUCUUAAAAAAAGACAACAACUGCAUCCUCUAACUUCUUCCUCUCUUGGUAUUUUACAGCAACCAUUCGACAAACCAUUAUUUUAAGAGCAACAUUUGUGUAUGAUUACGCCUUUGGAUCAAAGACAAGAACUGAUCCGAGGUCUGAAACAGAAGACAACAGAAAGGAAAAGAAACAGAGCUGGUGUGUUCCGGAGCCCUGAAGCUUCUUGGGCACCAGACUCUCGUCAUUCUCCUUUUCAUUAGAAAGGCUGGUUGAAAAGGGGGCACACGGCGCCCUUUGUCCCCCUUAGAUUUAAAAUACCUUCGACACAUCCUCCAGGAGUGAUGAAAGCUUGCCGGGUAGUUCAAUGUCUUUGUAUAAUAAAAAGUACCUGUUGUACAUUUAUUAAUUCACCUUUAAGACUCCUAAGCUGCAGAGUUAUUGGAGCUGCCUUCAAAAGACCAAGUGCCUUUUAAAGUCACCAUGUUCAGUUGUAGUUUUUUAAACCCUGGAUCUGAGACAAGUGCAGAAACACAGACAGUCAUCUGAGGGGGGGGGGGGGGCGCCAGCCCCCUGUGGACUUGUAGCAGGGCCAGAACAUUCAUGAAAGCCCCGGUCACGGGCACUGGAGUCCAAUCAGUGAUUCACUUUUUCUGUCUUGUCUGCUCUUUAAAAGUUUCAGAGCUUUGACUUUUGACUGAAAAUCGGCAUCACAAUCAGACAGGAAGCCCCGCGUUGUCCCACAAAGAGCUCCUCCAGGAAGAGCUCGCACAUCCUGACAGCACCUCAAACGCUUUCCUCAGACAAGAACCCAAGAGGUGCUCGCACUCCGCUUUGGGAUUUUUCAAAAAAAAAUCUCCCGCAUACACUGCGGAGUGUUUCUUUUCCUCCUCUCUCUUUACAUCUGCGAUUGAGAGGAAGCCCGAGAGACAGAACAUAAGGCCGAUGCUCGUGUGCCAGAAGCCCUUCAGGAGAUCAGGCUGAUACUUUCUGGGCACCGGAGUCCCAUCGGGUCUCUUUCUGUCCGUCUGUCAGUGGGCUGCGCAUGGCUUCCCUCCCAAACCUCCCCUCUUCCAAAGCGGCAGAGAGAUGACUAAUGGCGGCUCGAGGGGAGGCGAGUGCCAGCGAGGCCUCGGCGCUGCGCUCCCCUCACACGCUGCGUUUCUCCACAUCAUUAUUCUGAUUGAGUGCAGAUGACGCAAGGGGCUUUUCAUUCUUCUUUUUCUAAUUUCAGUUUUUUUUUUGAAGGAGCACUAUUUCUACAACCAUCUUCUUGCGUUUGCCUUAUGAGCUUCAUGAGAUAAAAUUCCAGGACUCAAAAGACGUUAACAGGAGAGUUUAAGACAAUUUAAAAUCAUCUGCUUAAGCUGCAGGAGACAUGGAAGCGAGGUGAUGGGGGUCUACAAACUCGUUAAUUUCGUAAUUAUGGGAUGUAACAUAAAACUUAAUAAUUCUGGUCAGCAAUGGAUACUCAGCGUAAUGAAAAAGCUUGUGAACCGCUGUUAUUUUGUUGUAUUGUUAUUUGAGUCCUCAUCGGGUCACGCUGUGUAUUCUGAGCUUUUCAUCCGGUUGAAACCCAGCUUAGACCUUUCUAUCUGGAUCUCCUACUCCGGUUCCUCUUUUUGCUCACUUUCAGAGUCAUCUUCACUUAAAGUUGUUCUUUUGUUUUCUGUCCUCAGGCAGGAGUCCUCAUCAGCGGAUACCAACACCCUCCUUGAGGACCUGCAGCCUGCAGCCUGGACUCGUCUUCCUCUUCUCUUCCCACCUUCUGCAAACCACAACUUUACCGCUAAAUGUUUGUGUGCGCGGUGAACUUUGUAAAAUACCCGCCAGUCGUUGUCGUAAAAAAAAAAGAAAAGAAAAGAAAACAUGGAACAGCUUAACCGACUCGUUCCCAGAGCCUUUUUUCCCCCUGUCUUCCUUUUACUGUGACACGUGCACAUCACAUGAUGUCACAUUCUCCCGUAAUCGUCCGUUACUCAGACCGUGUAAUCAACACCACCAACCAGAGCGGUGAAGCACCUGCGAAUGUUCUCUUCUGUUGUGUUGCCAAUGAAUCCUCUCUCGGGGGAAGCAGCUGCUGGCGAGCAACAGGAAACAACAAAACGUGCCGUUCAGAGCAAACCGAGGCCCGGCGGAUGGUUUCCUCCGCACGGAGGAUCUGGUUCAUCUCCGCUCCGAACGAGGGGAGAUCCUCACUUAUCAGCACGGAACAGGGAGACGUACGGGAGGGGCCAGUGCUGUCGACUCGAUGGUCUUCAUCGAAAUGGGAAACAUGUGACGCACACAUGCUUCGAGUAACCCUUUGGUUGCUGGACUGACGCGACGAAGCCUCGAGUCCGACGGCAUCGCCGUCGUGGAUUACACGGUCACUUUGUGCAAGUUACGAUAAUUGGAAUCACAACAAGCUCCGCCCUAAAGCAUAUUCGUGCGCUAUGGUUUAGUGGACCGUAAUAUACUAAAUGAACAUCAUGCUGUAUUGAAUAAGAUCAAGGCCAGCAACUCAUGUUUACAGUGUUUACUGAGGGAAUAAGUCAUUUUCUGCACAAUCGGAGUUGCAGCAGCAGCAGCCAGAGAUGUCGACUUGAUCCACCAAAGUUCAACAAAUAAUCCAACAUGUUGUUUUUUGGGCAGUUCACCACACUUUGUUAAAGUCAGGAAAAAAUUGUUGUUUUCCUUGACUAAAGUGAGCACAGAAGGGAAAGGGCAACCUUUCUCCUAACCUCAAUUAAAAGUUUGAGUAGCCUCAGAGCUUGUAGGAAGGGAAGUAGGAAGCAGGGGGCAAAUUGAGAAGUCUUGAACCUUUGUUGAAGGUACAAGCAUUGGAUGACACACCGUUUUAGUGAGAACCGAUGCCAUUUUUUAAUACAAAAAAAAAAAACGUACAAAAACAUACUUUCCACUCACUUUGUGGGUUUGUUUCAGCAUCUCAGUCACCGACCCAUCGUUCCAUUACCACCCCUCCCAGUGUGAUAGUUGUGGUGAACGUUGCUCCUGCAUAUUGAGGUCGCGCUGUGCUUACGGGAAAGCUGACUUUGCAUGAAACAGAAGGACUCGAUGCCAGUCGGCACUCACGCCCCUUAAACAGAAAGCUCUGUGGAAAUGUGAGAAUUGAGAAAUGAUGUGACGGGUCAUAAAUGUCCAAAAGUCUCAACAAUAAGGUAAAGAUAUCAACAACAGCAAAGGCAAGCUGGGGGAAAUCUUUCAGAGGAGCUGAAGUUGAGGACAGAACACGAAAAAGUAUUUUCUAAUACUAAAAAGUCGCACCCGCAUCAACUUAAAAAUUGAAAAAUAACUUCUUGGCACAGGGCGGCUUCAGGUCAGAGUUCUGGACCCCCGGUGGGGUGGGGUGAGGGAGUUGGGGGGUAGGGGGGGUGAGGGGUGGUCGCGCCACCAGACGUGUAGCUCGGAGGCCCCGCGACACUCCUCGGCCCUCAGCUUGACCACGAGGGACGGCCGGCGGCCGCCUCCAGGCCGAGCGCUACACGGAGCCCGACCUCGGCGGCGGAGGUGUAGCCCGGGAUUAACAACGUGUGGCGGCUGGAAACAGGUCGCGUUUGCACACAAUAAAUAGCGCCGCGCCGCGAGACUCAGACGUUAUGGCCGUUACAAUUAGGGGUGGAGAAAGAAUAGCACGUUUAUGUCCAGCCCGUCGUCCCUGGCCAGGCAAAGCACAUAACAGAUAUUUAACACCAGGAUGUAGCCGUUAAACAAAGUGGGACUUGUUAAAGUGGAGACUUUUGUCUGUGCACUUGCUUGUGCAAACACAGAUUAUGUGGUACAAGUAUGUACUGUACGCAGCUGGUGUGGAUCAUAAAUAACACCACAUGGAGUCUGGAAAAAGUUCAAUUAUUGUGAAUAGAAAGCGUUCAUUAAACAUUUACGAGAGCCCGAGUUCACUCGGGGAAAUACAUUCAUCUGUCUGCUCUCGCAAAAACAAACGGCGGGAUGUUCGGCGCGUAGCUGUUUGCGGUUUUUCGGAGCUUAAAACCGACAGGCAAAAUGUUAGUGAAACGCGGAGUCACGUCUCGUUCUCUCUCCACGUGGAGAUCGGACCUCCACCCGGCGGAGUUAAGGGUUGUUUACCGCCGCGUCCUCUGUGUGUACCGCUGUUUGGUUUCAUCGGAUUGAUUAGCGGGGCUCGCGUGCUAAUGCGAAACAGAGCGGGAUGAUGCAUGUGGGUUUUUUUGGGGGAGGGAGGGGGAGUUGGUGUCUUUCUCUCUUGACACUGUUUGGAUGCGCAUGUAAAUGUUUAACGGUGGCGUGAGUAAACACACGGCAGGGCGAGGUGUCGGGGGGGGGGUUCGAGAGGAGCCCGCGCUGCGUGACACGAGCACGAAGCCGCGCGUAAACACGGAGCUUUUCUCCCCCCCGAAGACACGCUGACAUCACGCGUGGAGGAAUCCUCCCGCGUAAACAAACUCGAUCAACAAUACAACUGGAAAACUCUCCAACGCGCGGGAGAGGGCGCUCAGGUUUGGCCCGACAGACCAGGUGACAUGAAUCCCGAAAGUUGAUUAAACCAACAACGCAACAAGACGGAAUGGCGUCAGUCCAUUCAGCCAACAUCGUACCGUGGCCGUCGCCACGUCGGUGGUCUUUGUGGCCCCCGGUGGAGCAUCUGCUGGAAGAAUCGACGCAGCCGGGCAGGAAAAAACAUGUGUCUGUUUCAUUUUUCAAAGUGACCACAUGCCGCAGUUGGAAUCAACAGCAUGCGUGUUGUUGUUUUUGUCCUCCACUUUCUACUCUCGUCUCCUCGUCUCGUUGUAGUCUCCAGUGUGUUUAUGGGAGGCGGCGGACGAGGCGGCGACCGGCCUUCGCACACCAUGCAAAACGGGGAUGUCGUCAACAAGUAGCUGGGUGUAAAAGGCAUAUUUGUAAAAGACGACGCGCCGCAGGUCUGCCAGGUUUUUUUUCCCGGCGCCACUUUGUGUUGCCGCGCGGAAUUAUUCCUCAACAGCCUGAUGGGCAGAAAUUCAGCUGAUCUCUGCGGAGCCGAACGGCUUGCAGCGCUUCCCUACGCGGGAGACCUCCUCCACCACCACAUCCUCAGCCGCUCUCUGCUCCCUGGCUCGACGCCUUCCCUUUCGUACACAUUCAACGGGCUGUCAGCAGACAGAAAAUGAUUGAUGACAGUUGCAGCACCAUCUGAGUGGACUUGUUCCUCCAUCCAAGCGAGAGCCGGUGGGAGAUUUUGUUCCCCCGGCGAGGUCAAGUUGGCCGGUUGUCACUUCUUGAAGCAGCGUUUAUGGGUUUUGGACUUUAUUUAAGGUAAAAGUUGUGGUUAAGCACGCAGGGCUGGAAGGAAAUCGCUCUGAGGUUUGGGGAAUAAAUGGAAGGCGAUGUAGGUCCUUCCAACUGAAGUAAUGCAAACAUGUGCGUAGCCGUUUCCUCGCUUGACAUUGGCAAGAUGUUGACCCACCAUUGACCCCUGGUUGGCAUGUGGCCGCAGCUUGUUUUACAGCCCGUGGGGGGCGAACGAGGGCCGACUGUGUGUGUGUGUGUGUGUGUGGCGGCGGCGUCCGGACCAUCGAGAGCACAGGUGAAGCACAGCGGCGAGGCCGUUCCAGAGGAAAAAGCCUCCCUUCCCCGUCGUACGAAGCCUAAUAUCAAUGAUCUGGAAGACAGAUGUGCUUUACGUCGAGGACUACUCUUUCCACUCGAUGGAGUGUUUACACUGGCAGAGCAUUUUGACUGAUAUUAUGGUGGCAGUUCCUCAUUCUUAUUACAUUGUCAAUACUGCCUGUGGUCUAAAUUUUGAUAAAUUGCUCUGGAGGAGAGAUUUCCAGGCGGACGGAGCCGGAAGCUGCAGCUUGAAUUUGUUUUUCGGCUAUUGGAUUGUAUUUUUUUAUGAUGUCACCACGUGAAGGGACGAGGUAGAUGAAGGCAGGUUCCCUUUAAACUCAGAGACUAACUAUAAAUAUAAGCUACAACUACACAAUUAUAGUUUACAACAACUCUAAUCUCUGCUUGUAGUAUUGCAGCAUUUGCUCUACUCUGCCCUCCCGUGACGUCCAAAGGUCUAUAAAUGAUGGGAAAUGGUGUUUGUUAAAAACACAAACAUAAAUAAUACUGUUGAGAAUAUUGAAUGUCAUUAGCCUGCAAAUUUCUUUGAUUUUUUUACUGGAAUUUGCUGGAAUAGAUAUUAUAAGUCCUGUUUUCACUUUGACUGUUUAUACUGUAAUUAUGGAAAGCACGAAGGCUGGGAAACCAGCAUUCUGAAGGCAAAACCCAAAACUAAUAAUCAACAUGUUUAAUCUCCACCACAAAACCACAACUAGUCCUUUUUUACAUUUCGUUUGAAACAAAAAAUGUUAAGUAGUGAGUUUUGAGAAGAGCUACAAGGUGGAUUAUGCUGCUCUUAGGCAAAGCCAGACCAGAGUUGUUGCUUUUUGAAUGGAUGGAAGCCAUGAGAGGCCUAGUCCGGGUCUUUUGUUGCUCAUGUCCCUUCCUGCACCCUCAGAUCCUUGGAUGCGUCCUCCAUGUGUACUUUACAAACAUGAGCACGGCUCACGGACACAUAAUAAUAAUUAUUAUAACAAUAAAGAGGUUGAAAAGAGCCACAUCAUUGGCUCAGACUUUGUCUCUUUCUAACUGUUGGUUUCUAACCGGCGAGGUAUCAGGCCGAGCUGCUGGCACCAAUUUGGUGUGCAGGUUGUAAACAUUUCUUCCUCGGGUCCUGGCAGCGACAUCUGCAAUCGAUUUUCUCCCAGACCUGAAAUGCCUCUUGUGUGCCAGGCCAAGAUUCUUUUUUAUGUCUUUGCUCUUUCUUCUCUUUUCUUUAAAUCAGUUGUUUCUUCAGACAUCCAUCUAUUCUUUUUGGCAGCUUAAACCAACUGUGGAGAUGCAAGUGAAGGAUCCUGGGACGAAAGUCAAAGGGUUUUUUUUUGCUGUCAGAUUAACAGUAGGUUAGACGAGAUGUCUUCCUUUGCCUGUUUUUUGGCCACUAGGACCUCAGCUGAGCCGCAGCAGCCCGGCUCCUGGCGGGCUUACGUCACGUUGUGUGGGGAAGAAUUAUCGUCAGCCCUCCUCAUAUCGUGACGCUCUUCCUCGGCACGUGACGCCCCCCCCUCCUCCCGAUGAAAGCUCUGGUGGAGCCCGGCAUUAAAAGGCUCAGGCGAGCUCAGUCCCGGCCUCCCGCUUCUACACAUGUCAUGGGCGAGAAAAAAGAAUCCGAGUUGAGCAGCAGAGCAAAUUGAGAGCAAAUGGAAAAGACUUGCCACGCGACGAGGGCGGCCAUGUUAGGCCCAAUGUGAGACCAGCUGCACAUUCCAAUACCCGCCAUUUAUUAUGCCACAGGAAGGCAGGGUGUCCCGAUGAUAGCGUGUCGAAUGCAGAAUGCCCAAAUGCCAGGAUGUCCGGUUCCACGCUGCAGUAUGGAAUCCCCCAUUCUGACCCACAAUGCUGUGCGCUAUGAGCCAGAGGGUCAAAGUUCAGAAGCCACGUUAUGACGAAGUAGUACGUCCCAAACCGCGUGUUCAUCGCUGAUGAUCAUAUUCUUUUAGAAUGGAGAAAAAAAAGUUGCAUUAUUGUUCGACUUUGUUCACCAGUAUAUGUUUUAUUAAACUGAAUAUUGCUACAACUCUCCAGAUCCAAUCUUGCUGUAAUAAAAGCCCUGGACAUAAACACUAACUCAUAGGGGGACUCAAAUUGACUAUUUCAGUAAACGUAAACUCAAUAGCAUAGCCUUCUUGACAUUUUAAAUUCAUGUUAUGAGCAUACUGAAGCUCAGUAUUAAUGCUUAAUGCCGCAACACAUUCACGGUCCAGGUGCCGUCAACUCAAACCAUCCUGACGUACUUUUAACUCCACACCAAAGCUCAGAGGUCUACGUCCGUGUUUGUCUUCCACUCCGUCAUCGGACUGCGCUCUGCGUCCUCUGCAGGCCGGAUGUCUCAGGUAUCUCUGCAGGAACGAGCCGGCCACUGGAGGUCCCUCUUGCACCACGCAUUGCCGGAUCAUUGAAGGCCCGUUGAACGUGCCUCAAAUGUGUCUUCAAUUAGCGGGCUGCAGUCAACACCAUCCUCUGACUUGGAAUGUCAGCCGAGAUGGAGAUGACCUUCUUGGUUUUAUCUUUUAUUUGCCCGUAAAAAACAACCCCAUCAAGGGACGGCUCUGCAAUGCACACAUUUCUUAAAAGCAAAAAGGAAAACUUUUCACCUCGGUUUCGAUGUGAGUCGCGUUGAACCGAUAGAAGUAUGUUCUGUUCCUGCAUGUGACGUCCCCCUUUUCAGUGUAAUGAAAGGGUAAGAUGAGAAGAUGCACAUGGCGGAGGUUCUUCAGCAGCGGGGCGCACGGAUGAAACGCAUGCAUACGUUACGGUUCCACCCGGAGCGGCUUUGAAAGCUAUUACGGUUAUAAUGUCCCGAUAUAGAAUAUCCGUGAAUUUGAUGAAUGCAUAAAAAAGACAGAUUCAGUGUUUUCCCUGGAAUUCUGUUUAAAGCGCUGUGGGAAAGUCUUCGAGACCGUCAACGGACACCAAAACGCUCCUUUGAAAUACAGACAAACAAGAAUAUUUUAGUUCUCUGAACCUUUUGUAGAGCUGUAAAAACCCACCAAACAUACAAACCUCACACACUGCAAACGUUACGUAUUAAAUUCAUGGAGCGCUGAGGUGAUUUUGUUAGUGGGUAUGCGGGAGCUGCAUUGAGAGGACGUGGCCUGAACAUGCAGAACAUUAUCCUCAGAUUGCUCAAACUACGGAGGGGAAUAACGCCACUAAACAUGAUACAAUUUAGAUGCAUCUUAGUGUCAACAAGCAAAUAGAACCAGAAUCAGACCAUUUGACACGCACCCACCCCCCCCCAUCUCACAUUUUUGGCCCCUGGUCCGAUUGGUCGACUCAGCUGGUGUGAUCCCCUUAGAAGAUGAUCUCCAGUACAAAGUAUUUCAAGAGUCCAUUCUCAAAGACGAUGCCCAAAUUAGUCAUAUGAUGUCGGAAUUGUGGUGUUGACAAAUAAUUAGUGACAAAUAAAGUGUGUUAGUGUCUGCGGUAGUGUGGCGCGACUAGCAUCCUUUUUACAUAUAGUCACACAUGUAAGCAGGGAUUCACUCAGACACUCAGAAACAUGUACCGAGAACAUGUACAUGUAUGCACACACACACACACACACACACACACACACACACACACACACACACACACGAUCACGCUGCCUUAACUCCCAUGUAAUAUUAUUGUAGGGUUUCCCACCUGUCUGCAGCUAUCGGCAGGAUCUUCCAGCUAUGGAUACCUCCCACCUACUGUGUCUGCAAUGUUAACACACACACACACACACACACACACACACACACACACAGUAGUGUCCUCCACAGUAGGAGAGGGCCAUAGACCGCAGGAAUGCAGUCUGCCCUUCUGCCAUAAUUGGGUACGACAACAAACCUUAAAACAUUCAGCAAACAAUUAUUGAAGACGAGAAGCCUCUGAGUUGUAACGUGGCCCCUUUUUGUGAAAAGAAAAUAAAGAAAUUAAAUCUCCGGGAAACACGAAACUCGUUUUCUCUCCAAAAUUGUUCCAGGUUUACUCUAAAAGUAUGUUUGAAUAAAGUGCAAAUGUGUUGCGAGGCACGUCACCGUGUGUAAAAUGGUCUGUUAAUAAGGAAAACAUGAAUAGGUUUAUGUUUAUGCCGGAUGCACGUUUUCUCAAUCGACCCCGCCGUUGACUUUGAUUUCUCUUUAAAAAGUCGAGUCAAAUAGUUGAUUGACAGAAAGUUAUUUGGAACAGCGGUGUGUGGAUAAAUGCUAAUAAAUAGAAAAAUGUUGGCUUUUUAAACGGUUGGACAAAAGAAGCAACUUGAGGAUGAAGCCUUGGGAAACAUUUUUGAUUGAAUAAUUCAAUUAUCAAAAAACUAGUUCAACUAUUUGCCAUUAAUGAAAAUAUCCCUGACACGCCGCUCUACUGUGAAGCCAUAUGAAAGCUUCCGUUAGGGCCAAAAGAAUUGAAUAGCGUUUAUUUUACACCAGAAAUGCAAUUCUGAAGACAUUAUAUAAGGCUUGGCAAGUCUGCAGCAGACCUAAUGACUGAAAUGUGCCGGGCCUGCUGUUAAUUAACUCGUAUUAUACAACCUGUGAAUAUUUUAUUCAUGACAAAUGUGACAAACGUAUUAUCUCAGCUUCUAAAUGUGAGGCAAAUUGAUUUUUUAGUAAUCAAAGAUUGACCUAAAAAAGACCUGUAAGAAUUGCCUCAUAUCAUCUGUUUCCAUUCAUGAAGAUACGUUCAGAUCUUACUGUUUUAAAAUGUGUUUAAUACUAGUUCAAACUGAGUUGACCAACUUAGGCUUAGGCCUAAUGAGAUGUUUGCUUGUUGUUGUUUAUCGUCCUUUAACUGGAGGCCGCCGCCGCCUUUAAAAGCUCUAAAUGUGGUAUCUGUGGUUUUUCCACUUGGACAGGAAUUGAUUCGUGGGUGGAAACACUUGUGUACGUUCUGCGGAAUGUUUGCAGUCACACUUUUGGAUUUGUGCGACGUCUGAAAAUGUCCUCCAUCGUACGUCGUUGCAUUCUUCAUUCUACCGUGGAGCAAAGAGCAAAAGCCCUCCGAUGUAAAUGAGAGAGAGAAAACGCGUGUGCGAAAAGCCUUCCGCGCGUACAUGCGUGACUUUGUGUGCACUGGAUCCUAUUUGUGAGUACAUCUGUACGCGAGUGUAUAUAAAUAUACGUUCAGCGUCUGUGCGAGGGUAAAUCCUUCUCCACUUGCUCGCGGACGUCUGCCAAGCAGACAGGGUGACAUGAGAAUCAAACCAUCUGCGUGCCCCCCCCCACAGCCAAGCAGCCAGUAACUUGCUCCAGCUGUCUGGGAAUGGAAAAGACGAUCCCGGGACGUUCCAAGCGAGGUUGCAACCGCGACGCAAAAGAAUGAGGGAUGGGAGAAGAAAAUGGGAGCGACGUAAGACGGGGCAGAUGUGAGGCGGUGCUCCAUCUAAGCUACCCGUCUUAACUUCUUCUUCUGCUACUUCUACUUCUCCAGCACACAAAAAAAAAAAAAAACCUCCAGAGGCGUCUUCAAACCUCGACGACGGCGGGUUUUAACCCGUGUUCUGAUGACGGACUGCCAGGAAACGCAGCGGGACGCCAAUGAUGAGUGAGACGUGCUGAAGGCCGUGAAAUGGAAGGUGCACGUGUCGCCGUCACGGCAGCCGGACAGCUCGGUGCGGCGCAACAAUCGUUUGAAGUGAUCACAUAAUCAAAAGCAGCGACAGCAAAUAUAUCUGAAUUACUGUUAUAGGAAAGAGGGGUUAAGGUUUUGUUGAUUUAGCCCAUUUAAAAGAAACUGUUAGCGCUGUUUAAUAAGAGUAAUAAAUGUGCUCUGAUGCGUCAGCACUGCUGUUCACUCUGUUAGCGCCGUAGCACCGUUAGCUGCUAGCUCUCAGCUUAGCAAUCUCCAUGUGAGAGACUCACAGAACCUGUGAGUGAGAAACUACCGUGUCCACAAAAUGAACUCAUGAAGUCACCAUCUGUUUUCUCUCUUAGCGGCGCUUUGCGUUUGGUACGAAGCGGCACCGACCGGCUGCACAGACACGAACCCGCUGCGUUAAUGUUAAUAUCUGGAGCGACCCAACGCGUCCCAACGCCGAAACAAUAGUUUCGAUGAGCCGACGAGGAUAGAAACCACUGUCACAACAGUCGACGCGACGCCGUCGAAGCAGGCGGCUGUGUGCGAGCCCCUUGAUUACAAAGAGAGAUGUAUAUCGCCCUGGAAAACACGCGGGCGGCUGCGUGGUUUCUUCUCCAGACCGCUUAUGUUCAACGCAUUUGGUGGAUGUUUAAUCGCGAUGCUAUCUCGCCACAAGCUCAAUAGCCUUCAGCGAAGCGCGGCGACGAUGCUAUCGCUACGCGGUCACUCGCUCUGGCUGUUUCAUAUUACAUUGACCGGAGAGCUAUGAAAAAAACUGCUGCAACAAAUCACAGCAGGCUCAAAGAAACGUGGACGCGUUUAGAUUUUUGUUGACUCACCAUCCACAAAGAGGCGGUUUGGAUGAUCUGCAACUGGUGAACGAGCACGUGCUUCGCCCGCUCCCUCGAUGUACAUUGCGUUUCUCUAUUCAUUCAGUUCACAAGCCGAAUCUUGAUGACUGCACAGAAUCACAAAACACAAAAUCUUGCAAAGCUACAGCUUUUUCUGCUUCAGGGAACAAACUGAGCCACAAGAUCAUAAAUCAGCACUGAUAUUUCCUGGCUUCAAAAUGUUCCUUAGCGACAGUAAGAGCGCUGUGUGUUUGGACGCCGUUUUUUUUCAUCGCUUUGGCCAAAAAAGCGGACCCACGUGUCACUGCAGCAGUCUGUAUUUAUGCCGCCGAUGCACACUGUAAUCUGGUCUCGAGCUGAAAUUUGGUAUCCAAACAUGAGGAACAUAUUUUAAUACAAUUUUCUGCACAGUGUGGCUUCUGUACAUCCAUUAAAUUGCCUCAGAGCUGAGGUCCAAAGCACUCCAAUACCACAAGCUCCCGAAAUAAAAGCAACAUAUUCGAGUGGAAGAAAGAAUACCUAUUCAUCUGAAGUCCACGGUAUUUACUUUGCGGCGCACUUUUUUUUUAAUAAUCCUAUAUGGCCAGGUUUAAAUCUCGACUUUAUGAACAGCGGUUUUCCCUGCAGGUAUUUUCACUGUCGAUUAACCCGUACGGAUUGGUGUCAAGGGGUGGUGGUUGACUUCUGGACCCCAGACAGGUUGGAGAAUGUCUGGCUGUAAAAGAGAGGAAGGGCCGUCUGGGUGUGGAGCCGGGAGCUCAGGGCUUCAGAGUCUGGGGGUGUACGUGUACUUACCAUAGUGCUGCUUUAUACAGCACAGUCUGCAAAGUCUGUGCUUUUCAAAUGCCAAAAGACUUGGCCUGGUCCUCAUUUUUUUUACUGUUGAACACAAUGAAUAAAAUUAAGGAUUUUAUAUGGGCUGAUAUUUUUUUUAUUUUUAUUACAGUUACAUUGUUUUUCCACAAUGAUUUUCACUUUGAGUGUCUCUGGAUUUAAAAGAGGAAAGUUCAAUCUACUACUCACGUCUUCUGCAGACACAGUUGCUGAUUCUAUUCAUGUUUUCCUCUCGGUAAUUGCCAAGAACUCCAAUUGUACUUUACUUGGACUCUUUCCAAAACUCUUCAAGGAACAUUCUGAAAUCUGAUUACAAAUCCAUGAGCAUGCAAAGUAAUUUCCACAAUCUCAUUCACAAUCAGUCAUCACUGAACAUUUGAACAUUUAUCAGGGAGUUCUGGGUUGUUUAUUGCAGCACACCAUUCAAGAACCAAAGAAGCAAGCGUAUCCAAACAGCAGACCAUCUCCACCAAGCUUUGGAGGUAAUCAGCGUGGGUUUGAAUAAAGGUCAGCGCGCACUGCGGCACGUUGGACAGCCGAGAGGGUCAGCGGAUACGGCGCUUUGAAGCAGCACAGGUCGGAGAGGAUUGAAGGGCGGCCGUGUGGCCAAAAUACCACGUGACCUGUAUAAACAGAGCGUCAACAUCCCUUCUUCGGUCUUCGCAUGGGGCAUCCAUGAUUGUGGAUACAGAAGCCAAAACGGAGACGUCUGUGCGUGAGACUGUGGGAAUACUGAGCGGCACCAGGUCAAGUUACACGAGAAACGGGGGAAACGAUUGCACCUCAACCUUAAAUGACAUUUUCAAAUAAACAGAUCGGCAUUUUGCUUCCGAUUGCUAAAACACAGCAGCGACCGAAAAUGCAGCCAGUUCAUGGAAGCCGCCGCCGCCGUUCCAAGCACAAAUCGCUUGAUUGCUCUCUCUCAGGAAGCACGUAUCGGCUGACAGACGGGCAUGUGAUCUACAGUAAUGUCCCAUAAUGUUUGCACCGAAGGACGUGAAGUCUUCAUCACAGCAGUGGACGCAGAGGAAGGUGGAGAACGGCAGUGUGGAACUCACAGUUUAUGUUCUGAGGCAGGUUAUUGUGCCUUUAUAUUAUUAUUAGACGCGCACUUGUUAUGACUGCCUGUCAAAUUAAAUUCAAAAGCCAAAGAUCAAUUCACAGAGGGGCUGGGAACAGUAAUGUUUGAAUAGUCUUACCACCCCCAACGCCAAGCAGCGUUAAUGUGUCAGCUCUCCGUCCAAAAACUAAUCCUGACAGCUUCAGCGGACGUUUUUAUCACGGACCUCAGCCCUCUACAGUGGCUGCGCUCAUCCUGGAAAGGUGACAUGAUACACAAGCAAAGAAAACACCACAAUUGUUUGAUGAAUUUAAAACAUUCACACUUCAGGGUCAGAAUGGGAAACAACUCGUUCACAAAAUCUCGUACGAAAGUGUGUAAUCAAAAAAAUCCUCCUUAGGUGACGUAAUGGCAAAACCACAUAUACAUAGAAGCCUCCCUGGACAAUGGCAGGAGUCCGGAAACGGUGAAACAAACAGAGCCAGCGGGCCGUGAUGAGAAAAGCAGUGCUUCACCUAAUCCCAAAACCAACUCAGCUGCCUUGUAAACCUGGCGAGCAUUUUUGCUGCAAUUGUGAACUUCCCCUCCUCUGAUUUUUGGGCUGACAGAGAGGUGUGCUUUUAAUAAAUAGAAAAGACAAUGGGUAGCAAACAGGGACAGGGGGAGUGAGCAUUCAUCCAGGGUGGCCUUCGCCUCCCCUCUUGAAACGAUUUCCAUCAGAGACAACGUGUGAAAUUAGCAGAAAACGUUCCAAAUCUUUUAUAACUCUUGGAGCAAAGCCGGAGGACAGAUAAAUCUCAUGGUUAUUAUCGAAAGAAUUGCAGUCUGGAAGGAUGAAAACGUAAAUAUCUCAUGUGGUGCAAUCCGUGACGGAAAGUUACAGCGAGUUUUUUUUAGAGAAGUAGAAACUUUUUGAAGCCGGACCACAUGACAGCUUAUGGAUUUCCCAGCUCUUUUUCCUCCCGUGAAUAGCUCAACGUCACGAUAACGCUUGAUGGAUGUUGAGAAUCAUAUUUUGGUUCUUGGGGUUUUCUGUCAAACCGAAACGUGUGUGAUGUCUUUGUAGCACCCGAGGAAGGCAAUGUGUGGUGACCCUUGAAGUGAGAACAAAAUCUGCUGGCUGAGGUUGACACGGAGAUGUAGAAGACGUUUACUGAGCUACCGAUUCGGUUCCUCCUCAGAGGUUAGCUUCCAGAAUAAAGUUGAUUCCUUAUUGUGAACAAAUGAAAAGACCAAAAGAAGCGCUGCGUUACUCAUACCAUAUGACCGUAUUCAUUUAUUGGAGACAUUAAAAAGUAUGUCAUUCAGAAGCAAUAAAACUAGUCUAAAAUCAUGCAAAUAGCACCUUUAAUAGAGCAGCAUUGUGUGGCUCGACGAGCAAUUAACGUCCAACACUGUUAUAUCUAAAUCAUUCGAUGAACUGUGGAGGUUAACAUUUAAUAUGACAACUAGUAUAGAAUAACAAGGAAUAUCUUUCCUUAUUAGGAAAAAAUAUUUUCCAUAAACCUUCACAACUCAGUUUUCUCACCCUUUGUCUGUUCAUGGUCAAAACACAACGGUCAAUAGUUCCUUAAGAGACAGUGAAGGCAUCAUGGAAGGAGAGGAAAGGACAGAAGAAAGAGAGGAAAAUAUGAGCUGUAACUUUUGAGCACCAAAAUCUACUUCAGUGUCAAAAACGCCCCUUUCAAAUGAGGCAAAACAUUCAUAAUAUCUGUAGUGCUGCCCAUUAGCUUAAAACACACCUCACACUGUGUUAUGAGCUUUUAAAAAGGGUCGCCAAAAUAAACAAAUUCAUCUUUAAAUGUCCAGUAUCUGGUGUACUAUUUUUACUCUCCCGCUCUGCGAGUGGAAGCCUCCAGACCAACGUAAUAGACCAAUUAUUUUUUUUUUGUUGAGGAAAUUAUUCACCAGCGGUCUUUCUUCUCUCUCUCCUCAAAAUCCGCCCCCCUUUUUUUCCCCCCUCUCAUUUAUUUGGUUAACGUGACCCCUGUGGCUAUGAAUCAAGAUUCCACGGUCCCUCCGUUUGAACUUCCUGCAAAAAUACACAGCACGGAGGGUCUUCCUGCAGUUCCACCUUCGCUCAAACCGAAUGGAGCCGCUGACCUCAAAUUCAGUGGAGAAAUUCUGCCGAGUUGCACAUGCGAGACGGGUGUGUGGUCAGCGGCCUUGGCGUAGCUCGCGCCUCUCGCGCCUCUCGCUUGGCCCUCUGACCGGUGACUUUUGUGUAUUCUGGGACCCCCCCCCCCGACCCCUCGAGUCCAGCCGGGUGUCGAGGCUAGGGCCACAGACAGAAGAAGCAGACGAAACUGGUUCAGCCUCCAAAAGGGGGAAGCGCGACAAAGAUCAAUAAACAGAGCUAAAUAUGCAGCGAGGAAGCAGGACAAAAAGCAGGACACGGAUGGCGUUUGCAGCCCCCCCCUCCUGGUCGGAGUGGGUUGGAUCGGCCUUGAAGGUAAUCCUUGCCUGCCGCCUCGGAAACUUGAUUGGCUUAGACAAACAGGUCCGGGUAGGUGAAGCAUUUGGCCGAUGGUUUAUCUGAGAGGUGCCUAUAAGCUGAUGUUGUGAUUAUUGGAUCAGCAUGUUUUGAAUUAUUACUAAGAAAUGAGACACCUCAUACAUCGGCCCCCUUGGGCGAGCCAUAACCGCACCAGAUCCUUUAAAAAAAAAAAAUCACUAUACUUGCAUAGCGGAGAAUCUUUUAAACCACUGGUUCCCAAUAUUUUAGGGCAUGGGACCUUUUAUAGCCAAGAAAUGUCUGUAACACCUUGUCCCAAGUAGAAGAACCACUCAAACAGACACACAGCAUUUAAUCCAAUAAACUGCUAGAUUAUUUGAUCCCCUCUCUUGCAGUUAUUGAAUGGAACCACUUCCUCUUUAAUUCCUUUCCUUCAUGAAUCUCCCAAAGCUGCAUUACAAUAUUGGACAUCGGUCGCAGGAAGCGUUGUCUUAUUUCAUUUCAACCAUUUUCUUUAUUUCAAUAGUAGAAGAGUACAAUUAAAAAAAAAUCAAUUUUUUAAAUAGUUUUUUCAAAACAUUUUCUAACUUAACAUCUUCUUAAUAAAAAAAAAUCUUAAAUUUUUGAGAUUUGAUUUUCCAUAACAUGUUUCCACAAUAUUUUUUACCAUAUACUUUAAUUCAAAGACAUAUUUUUCAAAACCUUUUUUGGAUUUUUCCCAUGAAACAUUUUUCUGCUUUUUUUGUUUCAAAAUAAAUUUCUUUUUUUAUGUCUUUUUAUACUUUAUUUUCAGACAUGUUUUGACACAACGUAUUUUGACUCUUUUUUUCAAAAUAUUUUUCUACACAACAGAUUUAGGGUUAAAAAAAAAAAAAUGAAUCAAUAUUUUUUUGACAAUUUCUUUCAUGACAUUUUUCAACCAACAUUAAAAUAAAACAAAACCAUUAUUUGUACGAAACAUCUUUAUUAAUGUCAGUAACAAAGUGGGACAUUUCACACCCUAUAUUGUCUCCUUUUAAAUGGCACUCAUAAUACAUACACUUCUACUACAUCCCCACCCCAAUGGUUAUCAUUUACAGUGGAAAACAAGGCUGGAGGAUUUGCCUUUCGAUUCUGUAAAUAGGUCAUAUUUAUAUUCUUUAUGGGAGGCCACCUUCGACCAUGAAUGGCGGCUGAAUGGCUUCCCGCUGUUGUAAAGUGAUGCUGCUUUGUGGUCCUGCAAGGCUCGCGGUAGAGCUGCGGAUCAUUACAUCGUAGGCUAACUUGACAUUAAUCAAAACCAGCCACUAAACAAUGAGCUCAUGAUACAAUUCAAUUUGUGGCGGUUCGUUCAUCUACAUUCCUCCCCCUUUCUGUCCCCCUCUGGCCACUCUCCCUAUCUGCUGUCGUGCGGGUCUCCGCAGCAACACCGACCUUUGACCCCCCCAGGAAGAGGGGCCCAGUUGAGCUAUGACUCGAGUAACUUAGUAGGUCCAUUCAGCGCUGUUCAACCCAAAACAAAUAACUCAGGGCCUGUAUUCUUUGAACCUCUCGGCUUCCCACAUUUCCAGGGUUAACGCCACUCCUGCUCCGGAGAGUGAUCUAUAGUUUCAUGCUUUGUCGUUUUUAUCGAGCCCUCUGACCCCGCAGUCACGCGGGGUCAUUUCAGUCGCCCGCGAGCGGUAACAAGAGCGCCAUUUCAUUUCAUAAAAAGCUGACUGAACCUGCUGUUUAGCCAGAGACCUGGUGCAAGAAUGGUGUCCGACAAGAGGUCAAGGAUGUCUCAAAAGUGAUCCCAAACCUCUUUUUUUUUCACAAAUGUUGACCGAAAGGGAGUCAGAGGGCAGCGGUUAAACGUCCCGUUACCUCUCACCGUCAAACCACAUCAACCGGCAGCACUUUGUUUCCUGUUCGACGAAGAUGAUGUUGAACCCAUGUCAGCGUUGGCCUACAGAGCCUCCGUAAUUUGCGAAAACGCGGAAAUUUGGCAGGAUAAAAAUCCUAACAAGAGCCAUGACCGCGUAGAUAACUUGAGAAGACAGCGUACCUCCGCGGUCUGCUCCGUGGCACGGCUCUCCAGAGGUCAUUACUAAUUUGUAUUGGCUACUUUCAUAUUUCGGUUUAGAAAUGAACAGAUUUGUUCCAAAGAUAAAGUUCAUCCACUUUGGAAAACAUAGCAUUGUAUGUGUGUGUGGGUGUGUGUGCUAUUAAAUACCCUGAGAGUGAAAAGUUUGCCAUUUUUUGAAGCAAGACCUUAAGUUGCAGGCUGAUGGGAUAAAUCCAUGGUAUUGGUUUUACAUUUGUGCCAACAAUGACUCUACUGGAAAAGGUGUCAGUUGUUUGAAACAAUGUGAGAAAUGUAUAUUAUGAGUUGUCUUUCCAGGACUGUCUCAGAGGUUUUUUUAAAACAUAUUUUGCCUGCUUACCGUAGUCGCCUCAUUUCAGAACUCUGAAACGCUGCCAAUGUCUCAAAUUUGAAUUGGAAUUCAAGGGCGAGCCUCGAGCGCCUUUUUACACAUUUACCUUAAACUGAAAUAUUUCUUUAAAUAACUUUAAUUCAAGCUGAAAUAUGAUCUGCGGGAUGAAUUCUCAUAAAAAUGAGAUGAAAAGAACCCGUCUCCAGUCUGAUUGUGUGGCAAAAAAAUAAAGGUGUGUGAAGGAUUCUGCAACUCUUAUUGACAUCAACUUAAUUUUCACUAUUUUGAUUCAUGUAUUUAUCCAUUAUUGAAAAGAAGAUGAAAAAUCACAAGCGAAUGCAUCGAUUGAUUGAUCUUCACAACACACGCUUGCCUUGUCUUCCGGUUUCUUUUGCCCGAGGGGCAUGGAGAGAGUGUUCAGCUGUGUGAGACCAGCAGUGUGUACCAUAACGUCAUUAGUUGCUAUGCAGCAGUGAAAAUAUUUUUUGUUGCUUCUGAAUAUCCAGCGAAGCUAAGAAGAUAAAGCUGUAUCGACUUAAUCAAGACAUUAUCUGCUCAUCUCCUCCGUGUUGUUGCACAUGGCGCGCGACGUGUGCGUCGGCGAGCCGUGGCCAACUUAGUGGAAAAAGUGCGAGCCCAUGCAAUUAAGGAUCAACACUUCCAACACAAACGUUGACGCCCCGUUACAGACACCGGAGGAGCCCCUGCUUCAGGGCUCUCUAUCAGCUCACACAAGCGGCACUCGGCCUGGAUUACCACAGGGAUAAUGUCUUUUGGCAUCAGCAUCGAAGGAUGGGAUAGAAGCAACGGGAGCGAUUUUUCCUGGUGGGAAAGCGCCGUCCGGGAUGUAAUAAAGAGCCCCGAACACUUCUGAACUCAUCCAAAGUCAGAGCAGCUGUGGUCAGAGGACCGGGGAGCUGCGCCGAUGGUCACUGCAUCGCGCCAACUGCUGUUUAAAAGGGAUGAAACGCAGCUGCUUUUACAGUUUGAGACGGUGAAGACUUGCCGGAUGGACGCGAAUGGAUGGCGUGUGUGUGCGGUCCUGAAGGGGGGGUAUGGGGGAGGGGAGGAGACCCCCCCCCCCCCUCUCCCGACCACAGCUGUAGGGCAAUGACCCACGUCUCUUCACUUACCUCGCAUCUUCGCCCGUUUCCCGUCUGAGCUGGGAUACCAUGCGGCUGAUAAUGACACGUAAAAUAAUAGCCGCGCGGAUGACGACAGCAUUUGACCUCCGACCUCGGGGGUGGGGAGGGAGAUUCACAGAGAGAGAGAGAGAAUUUGCAGGCGAAUCAGAGCUCGUCUUCUCGUCUCGUUGUGUGGCCACAGGAAAGCGUUAAUGGAGGCUGAUUUCUGCAGCCUUGAUUUGAGGAUGAGAGAGAGAGGGAGCUGUGGUCACCGCUCAAUCUGUCCCAUAUGGGGAAGACGCGCGGCUGCGGGGGUGAGCGGGGCGAGGGGGAGCCGCUCGUGUGGGAGUGCCGGCCCAGAAGGGGAUUUGGGACUGUGGCAGCGGCGUCAUGCUCCAGAGGAGGGGACUCGAGUGUAAAGUUCCAGACGUUACUAAUCUGGUUCAAUCAAACUGUUUUUAAAGUUGUUUAUCAGCGUUUCAUUUGUUGUACACGGCUCACAAGCUGUUUUUUUUGCAUCUUUAAUACUUAUCUAAUGCUGUAAUAUAGCUUAUCUUUUUCUUAGUUCCCUUAAAAGGACAUUGGAGUCUAACUUUCAGAACGAGAUGCCAAAUUGUCUUCACAUACAAAACUUUCCCACACUGAAGAAAUGAAUGUCUGGAAACAAGUCACACAAAAGAGAGCACCAAAGCUUCAGGCUCUUUGAUUCAGGCGUUUCAUAACAAGUUCAUUUAGUCUCAUUAGCCUAGCUUAUUAUAAUGACUGGAAGCAGGGGAACAUCUACUCUAAAUCCGUCCUAAAUUGAAAUGAUUUAUUCAUUUUUGGAGGUUUGGCUACGAACGUUGUAUCAGCCCACACAGCUCAGAAUAUGUGUUCACUACCAGAGAGGAGAGAAAUGCUGAAGAUACGUAAAAAUAACGACGGAAAGACAGACGGAGAACCCGACUAAUCCUUGUGGGAAGUCGGGGAAUACCACAUCUGCCCAGCCGGUAGCCUGUAGUUUCAAUCCACACAACAGCCGAUCCAUCAGAUGACAUGUUGAAGUGCGAGGCUUUUAGUGAGACAACGAGGCCCUUCCCGCUGACGUCUUCACGGGAACACCAGCCAAAUCCCCGAAACGCAUUUAAUAAAUGUAAACCGAGAAGGCUGAGAAACGGUACACUUUGCAGGAGGACGUUCCCUUUCUGCAGAGGUAUUGGCCUCUGAGACCACAGGAAGCCUGCAGGAUGUUCUCCUGCCUGUGUUCCUCCUCUAUGAUUGAGGUCUCGCUGAAAGUCCCAGCGGACACACGUCAUCCGAAAGAAAAAGGUAAUGCUGCAGGGAUCGGGACUGAUAUGUUGCAGCUGGGUUCAUCCUUUUUUUUAUUUUGUUAUUAAAUAAAUAAUAUUGGUACAGGGAAAGUGUUCGAGCAGGUGAAAGAAGGGGACUGGAAACGGUUUGUAACAAGCAUCUAAUGAGCCGUGGAGCAUCAUCCUCGUGAGCGACACUGUGUAAUUACCUCAUUCGCACAUGGAUACCAUAACAUUUGGUCCCUGGUUGUGCUUGCGCUCAUUUAGUGCAAAGAAAAAGACUCGUUGAACCCAAACACCCGCUAACGAAUUGACGCUUAGUUUGCAGUGAAAUUUGACGCUUCGUGCGGUCAAGUUGGUCUAAGACAACGCAGAAGGACCAGGACAGGAAACGAUUCCGAGGUUUGUGCUCAUCCACCGGGGUCGAAGUUCGCUUCUCAGGCUCUGAGGAAGCCGAUGGCCGAAUUGCCAACGGCUUUGGAUUAACGGCCACGAAGGAAGUCCUUGGACCAGCUUGGCACUGGCGGCUUCAAAGUCACCGUCGCAUUUGGUUGCUCCUGAAAAACUGUCGUCGUGUCUUCGGUGUGUGAAUUUGUUAUUUACAGGCCUGAAGGGCCGGCGGCACCUUGCAUGGCAGCUCCUGCCAUCGGUGAAUGAAUGAGUGUGAAUGGGUGACACGUAGCGCUUCGCUACACAAGCACGGUAUAUUUAUUAUGUAUGCGCUUUUUAUUUGAAUGGAAAGGGACUAUUUGUUUUGGAAAUGAAUGAACUCGACCAAGCUGAAAACACUUGACAUCAUGAGAUAUUUUAUAUUCCCUCCGAAGCGCAAAUGUUCCAUUUAAGGAGAUUAAUCUUAGCGGCAUUUUCGUUUUACGGUGAAAAAGCCGAGAGCUGGAGGCAGAAAUCCCCCUUUUCCCACCAACGUCUGGGGAGUCUUCGAGAGAGAGAAGGUUAAAACCCAGAUUUCUUAAAAGACAAACACGGUCCAACUCUGUCUGCACGUCUGCAUGCUGCAAACCCUUUUCUUAAUUAGCGAACCCAAGCAAAAAGAAAAAGGAAGCGCUUUACCUUGCACCCAUGGACCCACAGGCUAAAAGCAUGUUUGCAAUAACGUCCCCUAUCCAGUGUUGGCCGGCUGAGGCCGGAGCGCUGGCAGAGUGUCUGUUUGAUUUGGACGGGCGGUGUAAGCAUCUCUCCAGGCUUAUUUUUUCACCACGUCCUGUCUGCUCGUUUUACCUCUCUGUGUGUUGCUUCAGCUCGCGUUCCCUCUCUCUGCAUUUUGUAUUUUAAUCCGCGAUCACAGCUCUAACUGGGACGAUAAAACCACCAGGGGUUUAAAUGCAGAACGCUGACACAGACGUCCGGAAGUCCAUCAGUUUCAUCAGAAAAAGUCGGUGAAGGAAUAUUGUUAUGAUUUAUUUUGAUAAGCUGUUUAAAUGAUGCAACGUUUAAGGACUUAUGGUUGGAGGAAAAUACAUCUUGGUUAAGAUGGGAAAUCCGAUCUGAAUUCAUCGUUGUUUGAUACGCUGCUGAUUUUGAAGGAAAUACAGGAUGGAUUUCGUCUGUUGAGGAAAGUCAGCUGCUAUACAUCAAAACAAAAAAAAAAGAAUGCACAAGUCUGUUUUCGGUCAUCGCCGCGUUACCUACGGCUGAACCUCACUUUACAGCCAACGUGAACAAACCCAAAGAAAAGGAUGUUUUAUGGCAUCGACAUUGAGAAAAGACCUUCUGUUAACAUGAAUCAAAAAUACGCUCUUCCUUCAGGAGACAUAUCUCUAAAGCAGACUGGAUCCUGCACACUGAUUGUUUUAAGCUCUUUGUGGCUGCAAUCACGAGCAUCCCCAGAGCAACGACUCCAGCCAUCAGAUACAACUCCAGAGUCCUUGAGAUCAGCAGCGGAAACCCGCUUUCUGUCAACGCGCCAGGAAGCUUUAUUCAAUUGGAAAAACGACAGGCUGCGUUUGGUAUUUCAGCAGUUUUAAGGAUAAAGUGUAGCCUCCGAGCAACUGCCGGAGUAGAAAGAUUUAACAGAUGUGACUUUGAGCUAGAUUUUGUAGAUGUGUUAAUUAUUUACACUUUUUAAUCAUUUGCAACUAUUCUGAACCUCUAAAUGUUUUUUGGGCGUGAGGGAACUACAGCGUGUCGGGCCUCACUGUUUUUCGGCUGUUUUAUGGUCUUUUUGUUGCUUUGUCUGUCAAAGCACUUUAUAAACUGUUUCAACAUUAAUACUCAUAUUGCUGAGUAUUUGGGGUUUAGCCCCUGCCAACACCGUUUUGGACGGGUGCACUAACUUUUAGAUUUGUUUGUCAUAACUUUUGGUUUUGAAAAGCGAGACCCAAUCCUCGGGUUUUUAACAUCAAGACAGUAUGGAGGGAUGUUUUUAUCUUUUCUGACACAUCUGACCAUCCAGCAGACUCAAAUUGAUGCAGCUGAUACGAAUCAAAAAGUGAGCAGCUGUGAUUCCAGCCCUUUAAAUAUAGAGACACUGUAUGAAGAUGGUCAUUGCCACGCUCUCAAAAAUCAUUCCGAUUAUAUCAUGGAUAUUUAGGAUUUUAAAAACAUGUUUGGCCAAGUGUGCAACACCCAUUAGCGUCCACAUUCUGCGCCGGGUUUUCAUCUUUUCAACGGCGUGUGCAAAACAAACACGCCUCGCAUCCGCGCGUGAGGGAUGAGGAUGUGCUGUCCUUGAAUACAAGAUUUAAAAAAAAGAAACCUUUAUUUAGACGCCAGAGAUAAUCCCGCAGAGUGUGCUCUGGCGUUUAUUUACAGCCGAGUCCACAGCCAGCACAUAUCAUCCAAGAUCCAGUAAUUCAGAGAGCCUGGUCUCCGGUACGGACUCAGUCCCUCAAACGCCGCAUUCAUUGCUACAAUUAUCCUGUUACUUGGGACGUGACCAAAACAUGAGAUCACUGACCUACGCCGUCAUGUGACUGUGUGGACCGGAUGGGAACGCCACUGAGAAAAGCUGAAAUCUUGACAGCUGUUUUGUCCACCCAGUGACCAAUUGCAACCUCUUCAUUCAAUAAGAGAGUUUGGUCUCGCUGUGCGUGGAGAGAAGCUCAAAAUCGUGCCAAAUCUUCAGGACGUAUCGGAUCUGGAUCCCGUUAUACAUUUGAAAACAUUGUUCAUAGACUUUUUAUUAUCCUAUAAAGGCAGCGGACGAAUGAAUGUUACUGCAGCAAGAUAACCCAAACUACGCCCGAGAUGGUGUCAAUCAAAGUAAAUGUGGAGAUUGGAUGUAACAAGGCGGAAGAAGAAAAAGAAAACAUUCCCGAAGUUCCUAAAUGGUGGGAUUCACGGUGACUUGGAUUCAGCUCGUCAGGGGGCCAAAGGCACGCAGGAGCCCGACCGGCACCAAACUACCUGGUCUCAGAGGCUCAUGUUUGCAGCGAUGGCAAGUUUCCAUUGCGAAAAGGAAACUCUGCCAUUUGCAAUGCAAGACGGCGCUGAAAAUGUAAUUAAGGUCCCACACUUAUGUUGAGUCUUUUUUCUCAGAAACUCGGCUGCAGGAUUUAAAGUACGGUAUUCCAGGUCCAACUUUCCGAAAAACAUCAACACAGACUAAAUGAUAGAUUGUGUCUUCUGGUUCAGUAGAACGUGUCUCCGUGUGGUCUCAUGUGAAGUCUGUCAGGUUCAUCGUUUUGUUACAAAGAGAUGAUUAUAAACACACAAAACCACUGUUAGGGAGCUGGUUGGCUUGUCACAGAUUACAAAAGAUUCUAUUGUUGAAGGAUUUCUUCAAAUAAACAAUUUGAUCUAUUUCUAAAAUAACAAAAGCCUUUCAGACACCCAAUUGAAUAAACACCAGGUCUUUCACCGGGUUCGAGCCUCUGGCAGGAUUAUAACCCAAUUGUUCAAUUUAAUGGUUCCUCUAAAUGUUCUCACUCGGGGAACACUUUGGUGUUUUUACUAAAGAAUUUUGUACCAAGCCAAAUAUUUCUCUCUGUUAUUUAAAGUGUAUUUUCAGAAACGUACUUUUACUUAGUAUUAGAAGCAUAUUUGUACCAAGGCCGCGUGGAGGUGGAAACAGUAAUGAACUCUACUUCUGGCUGGAGUUGCAGCAGCAGUAGUUUAAACACCUAUUCAUGACACCGGCGUUACAUCACUUCACAGGCUAAAUGAAAGAAGCUUUGUCUUGCGAGCGCACCUGUUUCACGUGUAUUCACAUUUCAUUGCACGCUGCAUCGCGUUGACCGAAGCCGUAGUCCCCGCUGUUGAGUCGUUUAUUCUAAUCUUGUUAGACUGGGCAACGAUCGCAACUACAUCACUGCACGGUGGAAUAAUUCCAACUUGACUUUUCCGGGACAUGAAUGAAGCCAGAGAAAGGAGACAAGCACACGCUGGCCGACACUAAUUGGCUGUUCCUGCGGGUUUACACGUUGUUAUUGUACUUUUACGGUGCAUUAAAAAAGGGCGAAGGCUGCAAAUGACACGAUUCUUUUACCAAAGACGCAUUAAGUUGUUUCCAAGCUUGUUAGAUACAAACCGGUUGUAUGUGAUUUAUUUUGGCUGUAACGGUGAAGCGGAUGAAACCGUAAAAUCACAUUGACUUUUUAUUAAAAUUCUUAAAUACAGGUGGUGAGAGUGAACCAACACUCUGCAGAAUAAAGCUAUAAGGAGAGGAGACCUCAUCAAGCACUUUUCAUCCAGGAGCUUGAAGUGGGAGGGUGAGCAGCUUCAAAUACCUCGGGGUCCACUUCAGCGAGGACCUCACCUGGACACUCGACACAACGCAGCUGGUCAAGAAGGCUCAACAGCGGCUGUACUUCCUGAGGAGGCUGAGGAACUUUGGGAUGUCUCCCAAGAUCCUCAGCAACUUCUACAGCUGCAUCAUGGAGAGCAUAUUGAGCAGCUGCAUCACCGUGUGGUACGACAGCACAUCCAACAUGGAUCGCAAACGCCUGCAGAGAGUGGUGAGGACAGCAGAAAAGGUCACCAAGACCCCGCUGCCCUCUCUGCAGAGCAUCUACCACCGCAGGGUUCACAGGAGAGCUGCCUCCAUUCUCAAAGACCCCACCCACCCCCAACGUGGACUGUUCACGCUUCUACCCUCAGGCAGGAGGUACAGAAGUGCCAAAUGCAGGACCACCAGACUGAAAACACCUUUUUCCCCCACUGCCAUUAGAGCCAUCAACCGCUGAGAGGACUCUAUAACCUAAUCCACAACUGGUCUGCACAGGAUUUCACUCACUGUUACUGUACCGUUAAUUUAUAUUGCACACAUUUCAUUUAAUUUAAGUUUUUCUUUUACAACCUGCUCAGUUUUGCACUUUUCCCCUUACCUCAUUUCUGCCUCAUCCUCACCUCAUUUUUUAUUUCAUGUACAUUUAUGUAAAUAUUGUAUUCUUAUUUUAAUUUUAAUUUGAAAUAUUUACCACUGCUCCUACGCUAUGUUAAGAGCCCAUCACCAAAGCUACUAUAAUUCAGACUAUUAUCAAAGUCACAAAUCAACAGUCUCAAGGAAAAAUAGUGUAACACAAGUGUAUUUUGUCUUGAAAACUACCCAUAAAAGUUCCCUUUCUUUUGCAAAACAUGGCCUGGUUCUGUGAAGCAGACUGAAGCAUUCCAAUACCCUCCACCUUCAUGUAAUACAUGACCUACUGCACACCGCUGGAGUCCCCACGAGCUUGCAGCCCCCCCACUAACUUCCCCCCAAAAGCCCCCCAAGCAUCCCGGCUUCUGUAAGCAAUUAACAAUCAUUUUUCCUAUGCGAGCCAUACUGAUAUUUCCUCUCCCUCUCCUCUGGACGAAUGCAACUAGAAGGAAAAAAACAACACGGGUUUAAAGGUUGUAAACACGCCGAGGAUCUGGUCGAGAGAUGAUUACAGCAAUUUCCACGAUUCAUUCGGAGCGAAGCGCGGCCGAUAACGUCCGGGAACUCUGCAGCAUUAUGACGACACCGGGAGGAUGCAAAGGGAAGAGCGUUAACGCAGCUACGGGAUAUAACCAGUGCUGCUGCCGCCACCACCGGCACGCUGUUGUUGUUCCGUCACUCCCGCCUUCAUUCAUAGCUGCAAAAACCACCACUGGCAGAAUUCUAUUACUUUAGCAUCUGCUGAAUC
ensembl:lncRNA